ACCUUACCUUACCUUACCUUACCUUACCUUACCUUACCUUACCUCUGUGCAUUUUGGGAUACCUCCCCGCCCAUGGGAUGAGACAUAGUCUCCCCCAGGUUAUGUUGUUGAGUCUUGCAUGACCCCUUGUGAGUUUAUACUUACUGUUCUUCAGACAGUUAGAUACUUCCUUCACUGUGCCUCAGCUAACCCGGGGUUUCAUCACAUCAAUCGGUUCUUCUUAUCUGUUCUUCAGACAGCUAGAUACUUCCUUCACUGUGCCUCAGCUAACCAUGGGUUCAUCACAACAUCAGGUUCACAUCAACAUCUUCAUUGACCCAACCAGGAUUUGAACCAACAUCAUCAGCAUCUUACACAGGAACAUCAGCCACUAGACCACACAGGUCAUGUUGACAACUACCCAUUACAUCAAACUAAUAUGCCUUUCCAACCCCUCAUAAGCAUAAAAAAUAAUUAAAUUGACACCCCACUACUUCCCACCAUUACAAUUAAACACUUUUCAUCUAAUAUUUAAUAAACUCUUUAUUGAUCAUAAA